GGUUAGCAGGCUGCGGACGGGGCAGAAGAGGCGUCACGUGACGAGGAAAGUGAAACAUAUUAACUUAGCUGCUGAGGAACAGCCCGCACCAGGACCAACGGGGAGGAGGCUACAAAGCUUCUGUGCAAAUGAAUGCAGAGACUGGGAGCAAGACAUGGGUCAGGCAGAGUGGCACACACCAGUAAUCUCUGCUACGCAGAAGGCUUAAGCAAGAUUGUGAGUUUGAGACCAGCCUGGACAUUCUGGUGAGACCCAGUCCUUCCCCUCAAAGGAGUUGGAGAGAAGAUUUCAUCAGAGAGGUGCCGUGUGAAUGACAGAAGGAUGAACCCUGACUCAGAAAUGUGGAGAACACAUUCCAGCAUGGAUUGUGAUCUGAGAGAAGUCUUGUGGUUGGGGUUUAAGAUAAAGAGAAGAAGGUAGUAUUCAGUGUUGAUUCAUGAAGAGACGGGAUGAAUUAGACCGGCAAGAACAGGCAAUGAAAUGAGCGGGGCAAUAUGGGGUGAAUGGCCCAUUGCACUUGUGCGUAGUGAAGGUUCAUAUGUGGAUCAGAAGUUAGUAGGUCUUUCUACAUUUACUAUGGCUCCUACAUUCCUACUACUACCAUUGGAACUAUCACUCAAUUCAGGACUUUUCUCUAACCUCCAAGAAUGGAU